rnacentral:rRNA from 1 species
GUCGAGUGCGCGGUUGUAGCAAUACAACUGGCGCACGGCGCACGGGUGCGUAACACGUGGGCAAUCUGCCCUCCGAUGGGGAAUAACUCCGGGAAACCGAAGCUAAUUCCGCAUAACAUUCCCUGGACUCCGGUUCGGGGAUUCAAAGCAGCAAUGCGUCGGAGGAGGAGCCCGCGCCCGAUUAGCUAGUUGGUGAGGUAACGGCUCACCAAGGCUAUGAUCGGUAGCUGGUCUGAGAGGAUGGCCAGCCACACUGGAACUGAGACACGGUCCAGACUCCUACGGGAGGCAGCAGUGGGGAAUCUUGCGCAAUGGGCGAAAGCCUGACGCAGCGACGCCGCGUGGGGGAUGAAGCUUCUCGGAGUGUAAACCCCUUUCGACCGGGACGAAUGCCCGCAAGGGAGUGACGGUACCGGUAGAAGAAGCCCCGGCUAACUACGUGCCAGCAGCCGCGGUAAGACGUAGGGGGCCAGCGUUGUUCGGAAUUACUGGGUGUAAAGGGUUCGUAGGCGGUGUGGCAAGUCGGGAGUGAAAUUUCUGGGCUUAACUCAGAACCUGCUUCCGAAACUGCUGUGCUGGAGUGUGGGAGAGGCGCGUGGAAUUGCAGGUGUAGCGGUGAAAUGCGUAGAUAUCUGCAGGAACACCCGUGGCGAAAGCGGCGCGCUGGACCACUACUGACGCUGAGGAACGAAAGCUAGGGGAGCAAACA